GGAUGUGGGGUUCUCUGUGUGUGUCUUCUUGUAUUUACUUUUUAGCUUGUAGAAUAGAUGUCCGCUUGUAGGACAGAUGGCGUGACCGGAUCGGUCCUUAUAAGGCAGACAAUGUGAAUGGUGGAAAAGAGAGCACAGGAAAAAUGAAGAUAAAAUUGUAUCUGAGAUAACACACCUGCGACCGAAGGGAGAGCCAGUUUGAACCCAUUUUCAGGGCAAGGCCGAAGGCUGCAGGAGAGAGUACCAGACACUCAUUGUUCGGGGAAGGCGUUUGUUACAGAAGGAUGAACUGGGUUGAACCAACGUUCAAGGGCACCAGAGGGAUUAAAACAGUGGAUUCUUCUAUCAACCAACUCGGGUGGAUAAGGAAUAUCCUAACAAUUUUGGGGGCUCGUCCGGGAUAGGAGUUUUCCUGCAGGGGGAAUUCGGUCCAAGAGCUUUCACCUGCUGAACACUGCGUACUCCCAGGCCGGCCUCAAAACAAGGUAAGCAGAAACCUGUUACUAAUUCUGCAUAUUGAUUAAUCUAAAAUAAGGAGUACGCUGUGGAUUGGUGGUGAAGGAACCAAAUUGAUACAUGAGCAAUUCGCUAAAGUUAAUAUUAAGGAAACCGGUAAAAGUGCACAACAAUAGUACCGGCGAGUACUAUUGGGUUUAGUAGGUACCGGCGAGUACCAAGGGAUCUUCUAUCCGACACAAAUUAAAGGAUCAGGGAUCCUAUUGGGUUUAGUAGGUACCGGCGAGUACUAUUGGGUUUAGUAGGUACCGGCGAGUACCAAGGGAUCUUCUAUCCGACACAAAUUAAAGGAUCAGGGAUCCUAUUGGGUUUGGUGGGUACCGGCGAGUACCAAGGGAUCAAUGAUCUGACACAAAUAAAAGGAUUUUGAAUCCUGUCUUUGGUUUGGCAACCCCAUCAGUUCCUGACGAGGGCUGAAGUCGCUAGGUGAGUGUCCUGGGGAUUUGAGGACCCCCGAAAACUGGUCUUUGGUUUGGCAACCCCAUCAGACCCUGACGAGGGCUGAAGUCGCUAGGUGAGUGUCCUGGGGAUUUGAGGACCCCCGAAAACUGGUCUUUGGUUUGGCAACCCCAUCAGACCCUGACGAGGGCUGAAGUAGCUAGGUUGGAGUCCUGGGGAUUUGAGGACCCCCGAAUCCCAGGGUUGGAGUCCCUAGGAGUAAAAGCUCCUUAAAUCCUGGGCUGCAGUCUCUGAGCAGCUCGUGUGUGUGUGUGUGUGUGUGUGUGUGGGUGCAAGCAAGCAGGAGAGUAAAAAAAAAAGAAAAAAAAAGGGGAAACUGAGAACAUAGACUGUCCGAGAGGUUAACAUAAACUUUCGGUGUAAUACAUUGAUUCUCGGAAGGUUAAGAUAAACUUCCGUUGUAAUACAUUGAUUCUCGGAAGGUUAAGAUAAACUUCCGUUAUAAUGCAUUGAUUUCGAAGGGUUAAAAUAAACCUUCGUUACAAUAAAAGAAUUCUGGAAGUAUAACAUAAGUUCUCAGAACAAACGGGGAAGCUUGCUGGAGCUGCGGAGAACAUUUACUGUGUCACACUGAGGUGACCAGCUGUCCGAGCGGGUUAAAGCGAUAUAACUGGGAACUGUUGUUGGAAUGGAAGAUGAAUAUGAUCGGGAAACUGUUGACGGCGGCUGGGGGCCAGCGCCGGGGUAUCGAUGGAAAAUAAUAAACGACCAGCUGAGGCUGUUGUUGGUGGCGGUGGGUGGAGAAACCACCGGGAAAAAGAAGCAUGAGGCUGUGGAGCGCACGGAACGCGCGGUGAGAAAGUUGUUAGAAAAGAAAGGCGUUAGUUUGGCAGACAGGCUGUCACUGGCGCAGAUUUUGUGGGAGAAGGAGAGAGAUUGUAGAGAAGAAAAGAAGGAGCUUGAGUCGAAACGCGAGAAGGCGAGUGUGUUGAAAAAAGGAAAACUUCGUAAAGAGAUGGAGGAUGUGGAGGACAUGAGGUCCGCAUUGUUUUCGUACUGGAUAAAAAGUAAAGCCGUGGGGAGAAAUAACCAGGAACGGUGUAAUGAGGAAAGACCACCGGCAUACGAUGUUGAAAUAAACGGUGUGAAUUCGGCUUCUGCACCUGCUGGGUUGUAUCCUGUAUUAAAUAUAACGGGGGGAGAGUUGGAAGUUGAAGAAAGUGUACCACUGCGGGGUUGUCGGGGCAACGAGGUAACGGGGGAAAGCCGGCCUUUCGAAGCGCGUCAAAAUCGGGAGGGGUUUAAAGAAUGGACGGACUCACGCACUCCGGGGAGAAGGGACAGCUCAGAAGUGCAGCGGAGAAAUAAGGCGGAUAAGGGAAAGUAUUUAGCCGGGGCGAAUGAGCGGGUGAAAACACAAUUGAGAUACGGGGAAUCACCAGACAUGGGGGAGAGAGGAAAAAAAGGCUCUGCCUCGGCUCAGGAGGAGCAAAACGGGGAAUGCGGGGAUAACAGCGACCCAGAGAUUCACGGGGAACCGGGAAAAAUGUAUCCGUUAUUCAUGUCUUCUUGAGGGGUUAAUAAAUACAAGCCGUGGUCACUGGGAGACGUGUCCGCUCUAGUCGCGCAAAUGCCUGCACCAUCUGAAGGGGGAGAUAAGUGGCUAAAACAACUCGAUACGCUUACUAACGGACACACGCUGGCGCUCGGCGACUUUAGGGCUGUAGCAGCCAGAUGCAUGACCGCACAUGAUUUAGCGGACGUGGAAAACAGAGCGGGGGUGACCCGACAAGCCGAUGACGACAGAUUUUUGUAUUUCGCGACGGAGAUCGGGGACGCAAUGCGCGAGAAAUGGCCACUUCUAAUGUCGACUAAAAUACCGAAAUUACCAUGGGACGCGAAGAAAACCCCGCGCGCGUAUUUGGACGAAUGUAAAGAGACCUGGGUAAAAAGCACUAGCCAUCAUCCGGGAACGGAGGGCAUACAGAGAGAAUGGUUCAGACAGGCGGUGCUGGAGGGAGUACCAGAGGGGGUAAAAGCUAAAAUGAUCACUAAUCCAGACUUGCCAGGAAGUGAAUCUGCUGUGUGGGAAAGACAUUUACUGCACCAUUUACAGGACGCGACUGAGGAAGCGACAGGGGAAGAGAAGCAGCUAAAAGAAUUACAGGCUCAGCUUCUUAGGCUUCAGCUCACUAAGGUCAAACAGGAAGUGAGCGACAAGAAGCAGAAAGGGAAAGACGAGCGACAGAUGACAGUCCAGGCUGCCCCAGCUGAAGGUGUCCAGAGACCACGGAAGGGAGAAGACCGACCAUCCCCACACAGCUAUCCUUCUUGAGAAACUUCCAGACUACCUCUGGUCCGAAGGCCCGACUGACAUUUUGCGGUCCAGGUGCAAGACAGAACCGGAGGGCAGAACACCCCUGAUCCCCACACAACAGCCUGGGUCCUCCUGAGGGUCAUUAAGAGGAAGUGGUCGGAGCCACGGUGGACAGGACCAUACCAGGUGGAGGAGAGAACCUCACACGCUGUGAGGCUGAGAGGAAAAGGGGACACCUGGUACCACUGGAGCCAGUGCGCCCCUGCGGACGAACCGGGUCGCACUCUUCAGGACAUCCUGACAACGCAGCAGAAAGAGACGGAACUGGGCGCUGGAUAGUGCCCGGACGUGCUCUCGGCGGGCAGUGACCGACAGACACCCAGUGCAUGGUGUUCUGUGUUGACUGUCUACAACGAAAGAAGAAGACCAGCGACGAAGAAAUGCACAAUGCUAUCCUCUCCUCUCCUCUGUUCUAUCUUUCUCAAUUCUCCGCAGUUAGUUUAGUUGAAAUAGAGAAUGUUGAGUACGCUUAAUAUUUCCAUAAUUGCUAUGGGGGGGGGGGGGGGUAACGGUUGUUAUUGCAUUAGCUCUUAUAUACUUAGCUGUCACAGGUUCCACCUUGUUUGUUUGAGUGUUAUUACAGUGUUGAUACUAUAUAGCUUGGGUUGUUUUGGGGUAUAUCUUUCUGUGAGUUGUUUGUGAAAUCUGGUGGAAAGGGAGCGAGCCACAGUAAGCGACAGAACCAACACUUGGGGGUCCCUUCUCAAAGUCAGACACGAAAAGACAGGGCGUGGCGUAAGGUAAGAGGUUUAAAGGUCCGGGGGGAGGCCCUCCUCCAUCAGUAUUGAAGGGCGGAGAGGACUUAGAGGAGGAGGUCGACCCGGCAGACUUACUCCAUUAGUUAGGGUGAUCUCUGUAAGAGAUCAAAAGGGGGAAAUUGUGGGAUGUGGGGUUCUCUGUGUGUGUCUUCUUGUAUUUACUUUUUAGCUUGUAGAAUAGAUGUCCGCUUGUAGGACAGAUGGCGUGACCGGAUCGGUCCUUAUAAGGCAGACAAUGUGAAUGGUGGAAAAGAGAGCACAGGAAAAAUGAAGAUAAAAUUGUAUCUGAGAUAACACACCUGCGACCGAAGGGAGAGCCAGUUUGAACCCAUUUUCAGGGCAAGGCCGAAGGCUGCAGGAGAGAGUACCAGACACUCAUUGUUCGGGGAAGGCGUUUGUUACAGAAGGAUGAACUGGGUUGAACCAACGUUCAAGGGCACCAGAGGGAUUAAAACAGGUCAGUGCCAGAAGGCAGGCGGACUUUGGAAGGGAUUUGCUUGCGAUGCGUAUUUCAUUGUCUCCAGAUAUAUCUGCGGAGAAUUGCUCAUGUACAACUUUUUCUCUUCUAAAUAAAUGUUAAACUUUUUAA